GCCAGGCAUGGUGGCGCAUGCCUGUAAUCCCAGCUACUUGGGAGGCUGAGUCAGGAGAAUUACUUGAGCCCGGGAGGUGGAGGUUUCAGUGAGCAGAGAUCGUGCCACUACAUUCCAGCCUGGGCGACAGAGUGAGACUUUGUCUCAA
rnacentral:SRP_RNA from 1 species